GUCUACAGCUAUACCACUCAGGGCAGACUUGAUCUUCUCUUAUCUCAGAAAGUAAGCAGGGUUAGACCUGGUUAGUCCUUGAAUGGGAGACCUCUUGUGAAUACUGGAUGCUGUAGACA
ensembl:rRNA 5S_rRNA 5S ribosomal RNA